rnacentral:rRNA from 1 species
AGUGAACGCUGGCGGUAGGCCUAACACAUGCAAGUCGAACGGCAGCACAGUAAGAGCUUGCUCUUACGGGUGGCGAGUGGCGGACGGGUGAGGAAUACAUCGGAAUCUACUUUUUCGUGGGGGAUAACGUAGGGAAACUUACGCUAAUACCGCAUACGACCUACGGGUGAAAGCAGGGGAUCUUCGGACCUUGCGCGAUUGAAUGAGCCGAUGUCGGAUUAGCUAGUUGGCGGGGUAAAGGCCCACCAAGGCGACGAUCCGUAGCUGGUCUGAGAGGAUGAACAGCCACACUGGAACUGAGACACGGUCCAGACUCCUACGGGAGGCAGCAGUGGGGAAUAUUGGACAAUGGGCGCAAGACUGAUCCAGCCAUACCGCGUGGGUGCAGAAGGCCUUCGGGUUGUAAAGCCCUUUUGUUGGGAAAGAAAAGCAGCAGGUUAAUACCACGCUGUUCUGACGGUACCCAAAGAAUAAGCACCGGCUAACUUCGUG